rnacentral:tRNA from 1 species
GUUUUACAGUGAUUAAAACGCUUGGCUGCUAACCAAAAGGUUGGUGGUUCAAACCCACC